CUACCAAAGGGCGAAUAAGGGAUGGAGUAGGUACAGCUACAGUGUCCAGGUUAUCGGGGAAUCCCAUUCCCAAUGUCGACAAGCUUAUCCUGGAAAAUCUUAUUCCCAAGUUUGAAGUUCCGAGUUGUGCCUCAGAUUGAUAACCUGCUACACCCAGCAGCAAACAGGGGGCAAGGCUAAGUGCUCAAUUCGCAUAUGAAAUAUGAGCGUGUUGAUUUGGGAAUGGGAAUGGGAAUUCGAGCUGGCGCUGGGAGUGAUCGGUUAAGAACAAUUUGGACUCCUGAAAUGGAUAGAUACUUUAUUGACCUUAUGUUGGAACAAGUUGGAAAAUGGAGCAACGAUGAUGAUCAUAUUUUUAGCAAGCAAUCAUGGAAGCACAUGGCUUGUUUGUUUAAUGAUAAGUUCAAGUUUCAGCAUGACAUAGAUAUUUUUAAGAAUCGGCACAAGACGCUUAGAAAUCUUUACAGGUCUGUACAGCAUCUGCUUGAUCAGGAAGGGUUUAGCUGGGACGAAACACGGAAAAUGGUAACGGCUGAUAAUAAAAUCUGGGAUGAAUACAUAAAGGUUCAUCCGAAAUUGCGAUCCUUCAGAAUAAAAUCCAUCCCAUAUUUUCGUGAUCUGUGUGAGAUAUAUAAACAUGCAAGUCCUGAAAAGAAAGUUACUAUUGCUUGUCAUAGUGCAUUCUCUAAAGACAGUGAGCCUCAAUCUGACUCUGGUAGCAUGUCAGAAGGUGAAAACUCGAAAUCGGAGUUAGUGAAAGCAGAAGAACCAAUUAUUUCACCAAUUAAUGUUGGUGAUAAUGCCAUGGAAACUCUUCAUGACAUUGCACUCAUAGAAGAUUAUGGACUCUCUGUUACAACAGGACUUGUUGAUGAUGCGCCUUAUCCUCUAUCAGAUAACAGCUCUCCUGCAGCUACUCGUACAAGGACAUGCUGGCAGCCACAGAUGGAUUUAUACUUUAUUCAUCUCAUGCUAGAUCAGGUGAAGAAAGGGAAUCGGGCUGAUGGUCUAUUCCGAAGAGAAGCAUGGAUGGAGAUGAUUACUUCUUUUAAUGCUAAAUUUGGCUUCAACUAUGAAGUUGAUAUAUUGAAAAAUCGAUUUAAAUCUCUGAGAAGACAGUAUUCUCUUAUAAACAAUCUUCUGAAAAUGGAUGGCUUUGUUUGGGAUGAUGCACGCCAAAUGGUGACCGCUGAUGAUCGUGUCUGGCAAGAUUAUAUCAAGAUUAAUACCACUGCAAGGCAAUACAUGACCAGACCUGUACCGUUCUAUAAAGAUCUGUGCGUCAUAUGCGGUGAGGUAAGUAGUGAUGGAAAAGAUGGGUUUUCUGCACAUAACACCAACCAGCAAGAUGAAGCUUUUGAAAAUAACUUUGGUGUGUUGCUCAAGAGUUUGGAAUCUCCAAGUGCUAUGGUUUUCAGUGAUGACCGAAUUAGCAAAGAGGAUUCUUUGCAUAUGGGUUUCAAUGCAACUGAUAAAAGGGGUAAGCAUCAAUUAGACAACCCUUCAGGUUCUGAACGCUCCAAGAGAGCUCGUAGUAAAGAUGAUGGCAUUGCAUAUGCUCUUCGCGAGAUGGCAAGCACGGUUUCAUCUUUGGUAGGUAAGAGAAAAGAAGAUGAAAGCUCAAAUAGCGUUUCCAUAGAACAUGUGGUCAAGGCAAUCCAGGCCCUACCUGACAUGGAUGAAGACCUUGUGUUGGAUGCAUGCGAUUUUCUAGAGGAUGAGAAGAGAGCUAAGACAUUUUUGGCACUAGACUUUAAACUCCGAAAGAAGUGGUUAAUAAGGAAGCUUCGUCCACAACAGCAAUAAAGAUAAAUAGACAUUGUUAGUUGUACCUCAAACUUUUAGACUAUUAUAGGACAUGCAGGUGUUGACAUUAUUUUAAAUUAUGAUGAUAAUGAAGUAAUCUGAUAUAUCAUAGUUUCUUCACUCCAUUUUUUUAAAAAAAUAUUAAUUUCUUGAAUUUAGUAAUUUGUUUAGUUCAAAAUGGUAGAUUUUAUAGAUUCUUUCAAGUGUAAUACCAUGGAAAGAAAAGGUUUUAUUUUGGAUUUUUGGCUCCAGAUGAUGUGACAGGAGCAACGAAAGAAAGGAGUACUAUGUGCUAAAAUUGCCUGGCUAAGAAAGGAGUUGGAGGACUUUUUUAAAGCUUAAUCUGUGAUCUGACUCCACUUACUUGUGACUUUUAUCAGCUUCAAUUGCUGUAGGGUACCCAUAAAUUGCCGGGCAAAGGUUACCUGGACCAUGCCAUGUUUGCAGCUGAGGCAGCCAUCACCAUGCUUUCAUGAUGAGUGGGACAAAAUGGUGGGAUGGAUAUACAUCAGAGAAGAUGCUUAAUUUGAGUUGGAGCUGGUGCAUCAAAACAUGACAGGCAUCUGCUUCUAUAAAUGCUAGUUCCUUCUCAAGAAUGUCCUGUUUGCUAGUGUUCCUCGUUGAGGUAGUGUUGCCUGUUCUGUGAUAAACUAGUACAACAACAUACAAGGUGGAGUUUGCAUCUCAUCUGGAAUAAUCACACCAAGCACUUGGCCAAUGCAUUGAAGUUUCUCGAUUUCAGG